GCUACCAUAUACCCAGAGAAUUCGUGGCUAACGGACACAGGCAGCAAACUGACGUCAUCUGCACCGGGACCCAGGAGGAAGGUGCUCCUGUCGCGGUC